rnacentral:rRNA from 1 species
AUUGAACGCUGGCGGCAGGCCUAACACAUGCAAGUCGAGCGGAUGAAGGGAGCUUGCUCCUGGAUUCAGCGGCGGACGGGUGAGUAAUGCCUAGAAAUCUGCCUGGUAGUGGGGGAUAACGUCCGGAAACGGGCGCUAAUACCGCAUACGUCCUGAAGGAGAAAGUGGGGGAUCUUCGGACCUCACGCUAUCAGAUGAGCCUAGGUCGGAUUAGCUAGUUGGUGGGGUAAAGGCCUACCAAGGCGACGAUCCGUAACUGGUCUGAGAGGAUGAUCAGUCACACUGGAACUGAGACACGGUCCAGACUCCUACGGGAGGCAGCAGUGGGGAAUAUUGGACAAUGGGCGAAAGCCUGAUCCAGCCAUGCCGCGUGUGUGAAGAAGGUCUUCGGAUUGUAAAGCACUUUAAGUUGGGAGGAAGGGCAGUAAGUUAAUACCUUGCUGUUUUGACGUUACCAACAGAAUAAGCACCGGCUAACUUCGUG